GCCCUAAUAGCUCCUAUUGGUAGAGCAUGAGACUCUUAAUCUCAGGGUUCUGGGUUCGAGCCCCACCUUAGGUG
rnacentral:tRNA from 1 species